rnacentral:lncRNA from 1 species
CAAAUGGUCAAUUGGUCCAAAUCAUUUGGUUGAGUAAGGGAAAACUUUUAUUCAAGUGGGUCAAGAGGUUCAAAAUCCAUGAUCUUUUAAAGUGGUUUACUCUCAAAACAAGUAGACUUGACAUUGCACAUAAUAUAUCUAAGAAAAGGACCAACUCACGCAUACAAUGCUCAAUCUCCAUUGUUCUACUCUUUUCCCAAACAUACAAGUUACACAAUCACUUCCCAAUGUCAAAC